UAAUUAACGGAGGGUCGAGAGUUCUUUUGUUGGUUCUAUUCAGUGAAAAGCGACGUGCCGUCGGCGUUGGUCCUCGUCCAUCACGUCACUUGCUCCUACGCGUCUUUCGCUCCGUGGAUGGAGACAAAGGCAUCGUGUCCACUGACGGAGGAGGACGAACAGACACAACAACAACAUCUGGAGUUCAUUAAUGAAUCUCAUGACUGAAUAUUCUCUGUAAAAACGUUGUUAAACUGGACUUUACAGAACAAAUAAAGGACCAACAAAUUGCCUUUCAAAUUGUAUUUAAUGAAUGACUCAAUCAUCCUUGCAAGUUGCGUUAUGUUUGGAGGAGACGAAGCUCGUAAAUGACACAAAGACAAAUUAAAGAUAUUAAACCUCUCAGACAGCAAACCUUAUACUAAUGAUUAUUACACACAUUUGUACUCUUUUCUCACCUCAAUAGCAGAUUUCUAUUUUAUUUUAUGAUCAUAAUCCGAUGUGUCACAUGAACUGAAUUUCUUUCACUGCGAUCAGCAGUUUAAAUACAAAGAUCAGAAAUCCAUUGGACCAGCAGAAUGAUAAUAUAUAUAUAUUUGUAUAUUUGGCUAUUUGUUAUUUAGUGUUACUUUCGACCAAAUUUGAAACGCCGACAGUCCCCAUGUGCAUGGCUAGCUAUGCCGCGUUAGCGUUAGCUAACGUUAAGUUGUCUCCUUUUUGCAACUUGCCAGAUAACCUGCCGAUGUGAAGGGUGAGUUAUUGUUAAUGACGAGGUAAUGUGUUAGCAAUAUAUUCCAUGGUGUUCACAACUAGCUAACGUUUACUAAGAAAUAAAUGCUAAUGCUGUUAGCAUACUCUUUGUAGAGUCCAAUUAGCGUGCUGCCGCUUAGCUAAACUGCUGAAUUUGAAUGAAAAUAAAUGACUAAGCACGCGUUUCAAUAUUUCACUGUGUUGUCUUCAUACAGGAUCAAGAAACACCAACAUGAGAAAUGAUGAGCUGAAGCAUCCGUUGAAUCAGCUUCUGAUUUAUCUGGAUCUUCUGAGUCAAGUUCUUCAUCUUCUACCAACUCCUUCUCAGACUGUUCUUCCUCUCCGAGCUCCUCAAGCUCGGAGAAUGUAAAGAAGAGGAUGAAGAAGUCAAAGAAGAAGAAGGGAAAGAAAGUAACAAGAGAGAGAGGAAGCAAAAAGAUCAGACGGAGCCGUGUUUCAAGGGCACGUGGUCCAGAUGAGGCCUACAAGAAGAAGCAUACAAUUGCCUUGAAUGCACCAUUUGUCACUGUCUUAUUUUUUAGUUUUCUGCCACUCGUGUCCCCGGGUAACUUCACUUCCUGCCUUGUCCUGUCGUCCCCUGUCAUUGUCUGAGCGUUUCCACCUGUGUCCAAUCACCUGCACCUCCCUAGUGUAUUUAAGCCGUGUGUCUCUUGUGUCACUUGUCGCGUCAUUGUCGAACGUCCUGGAUGUGUCUAGUCCGUGCCUGCUUUUUUGCCCUGGUUCCUGUGUGUUUUUGCCCCUUGGCCUUUUACUUUUGGUAUUUUGGACUAUUAAAGUCUAUUUUGUUACUCGAACUCUGCAUUUGAGUCCUGCCUUCCCACGCACCCCUGACACCAAUUGCUGAGAUUUCCAUUGCGGCCCCUGAAAAGUUUGCGGAGUUUAAGGAUCAGCAUACAACAAAGCACAAGCUCUGUAGGAUUUCAC
ensembl:lncRNA